rnacentral:snRNA from 1 species
AUGCUUCCGCAGCAUGCAUACUAAAGCUGGAAGGACGCAGAGAAGGUUGGCGUGGCAAGGAUAACACACAGACUAGUGAAGUGUUUCAUAGUUUU